UCUCUUCACAGCCAUUCCGUUUCCAGUCCUGAUCUACACCCUCAAGUGCAGCAGAAAGGAAUAGGUGCAGAAAGGAAAGCUGACUGUGGGCACUCACUGUGAGCAGCAGUGAGCUCCAACCGCCUCUUCUCUAAUGCCGACUUCAGCAUUGUGCUUAUGCAUCAUUUAAAGGGGGCCCAUUCUGAGAAAUGUGUUAUUAGGUGAUUCCACUGUACGAACAGAGUGCAUUUGGAGUAAAACUAAAUGCUGUGGGCCACUCAGGGCUCUUGAUGCAAUUAAGGGAUGGCAAACAUGAGACACGCCAGGAUGCUGGCAUGUAACCCAGAAGGGUGUUUCAGGGCAAACUGUUCUAGUAUGCAGAAGGAACUCACUGGGAAAUUAUGAUAAAAAUAUACCCAAUAAACUAAUAAUGGCUAUGUCUAUUACCAUCUUAUAAUUAUUAAAAGUUUUAUUC
rnacentral:lncRNA from 1 species